rnacentral:lncRNA from 7 species
GGUACGUACGUGUCGGAAAUCCAUCCGUAUCCAAUUGGCAUUGCGUGCAUGCAGUAACAUGUGUAUAAGCAAAAUUUGCUAGGCAUGCACACUAUCCCCCACCAAUUAACUAGCUAGCUAGCUAGGACAUGGACACAUGCACAUCCUCCUCGAGCCAUGAACAACAAAACCAUCCAUCACCCUUUCACUUUCACUUUCACUUUCUGGAAAGCAAUAAUGCAUGCAUGCAUUGGCUUUUAGGUUUACACUUUAUUCACUAGCCAUGUUACGGCUUUAUUUUGCCGUCGAUCGAUCAGAACCACCUGCACAAAUUCACGCAUCAAAAGUGAACCCUGGCUAGCUAGCUAGCUUCCAGGACAUGCAUGCAUGUUUGCUUAAUUGAUGGAAUGGAACGACGUAUAACAAUCCAUGGAAAACUCCAAAUGGUACUGGUACGGUUCAUGCAUGCAUGCAUGCAUGCAACAGUAAUGCAUGUACUCACGUCACGCAUUCAGAAUUAUAUCCAGAAUUAUAGCAAUAAAUUUAAACUAGUAAAAAUGACGGAUAAAAAUAAAGAAAGAUGCAUUCAUGCAUGUAGAAUGAUGGAGCCAUGCAUCGAUCAGUUCUUCUUCCUUAAUUUGUUUCCCUUUGGAUCUCUCGUCCUCUAGCAGGUGUUGGCUUGCCCCCCCGGACCCGGAUCGGAGACUGUGCCGUGUGCCCUGCCCUGCCCCUGCCCCUGCCGUGAAAGCAAGUCGAAAAAGAAGAGGGGGGCCGGGGGCGGCGGUCAUAGGCAUGCAUGCACUUUCUUCGCAACAGGGGCGGCGCUUUAGGGAGCACCACACCACCACUGCACCACCCAACCCGAUCGACGACGGCGCCAGCAGCUAGCAGAGGAGGCAUGCAUGGCAGGCAUGCUGCGAGAGUGACCGACCGGUGGAUCGGAGAAGAGAGCUAGCUACACCGUCUCGCAACAACGACGCAUGCCACUCGCGUCCACCGGCUCCGCGACAACGGAGGAACGUCCAGCGUCCGAUAGAUGCUAGCUGCGGGCGGCAUGCAUGGACCCCGGCCUUCUUUUAAACUACAUGCAUACAUACUGCCCAUGCCAUCAUCAGCCUCUCUCUCUCUCUCUCUCUCUCUCUCUCUGCCUAGCUAUAG